AGUGAACGCUGGCGGUAGGCCUAACACAUGCAAGUCGAACGGCAGCACAGUAAGAGCUUGCUCUUACGGGUGGCGAGUGGCGGACGGGUGAGGAAUACAUCGGAAUCUACUUUUUCGUGGGGGAUAACGUAGGGAAACUUACGCUAAUACCUCAUACGUCCUACGGGUGAAAGCAGGGGAUCUUCGGACCUUGCGCGAUUGAAUGAGCCGAUGUCGGAUUAGCUAGUUGGCGGGGUAAAGGCCCACCAAGGCGACGAUCCGUAGCUGGUCUGAGGGGAUGACCGCCAACACGGGAACUGAGACACGGUCCAGACUCCUAGGGAGGGCAGCAGUGGGGAAUAUUGGACAAGGGGCGAAAGCCUACGCCAGACAGACCGCGUGGGUGAAGAAGGCCUUCGAGUUGUAAAGCCCUUUUGUUGGGAAAGAAAAGCAGCAGGUUAAUACCCCGCUGUUCUGACGGUACCCAAAGGAUAAGCACCGGCUAACUUCGU
rnacentral:rRNA from 1 species